rnacentral:misc_RNA from 1 species
GGGUGAGCCAUCAACAGUUUACAAUAGCACCAUUCACAAAAGAUUUGUAUCCCAUUUUCAUGAUGAUACCUUUUGAAACAUCAUUCUCAAAGACACAAGCAUUAAUUUAAGUUUUUUCUAAUACACAGUACAUAAGAGAUAAAUAAUCUAACAACUAGAUUUCCAAGUACCAAACCACCACAAGUCAAAUUAUCAAACAUAACAUAGGUCAACCGAAGCUGUCUUUUCUUAUACAAUAAGUCAGCACAACAAAGCAAACAACAUUUAUAGCCCAUUCCUAAAUAGAGACCAUGCCAAUCAAGAUUCAUCCAACUGAUCCUGAGCAUCUGAGGUCCAAAGUGUGAGAUUGUCUCGUAGGAGUUGCAUUAUGAGGGUGCUAUCCUUGUAUGAUUCUUCACCUAAAGUGUCCAGCUCAGCUAUCGCUUCCUCAAAUGCCUGUUUUGCCAUACUGCAAGCUUUGUCAGAUGAGUUAAGUAUCUCAAAGUAAAAGACAGAGAAGUUGAGUGCAAGACCAAGCCUUAUGGGAUGUGUUGGAGGCAGAUCUGUCAGUGCAAUUUCCUGAGCAGCCUUAUAAGAAUUCAUAGUGUCUUCAGCAGCCUGCUUCCUCUCAUCACCAAUCUUAAACUCAGCAAGAUACCGGUAAUAAUCACCUUUCAUCUUAAGGUAAAACACCUUCGAUUCACUGGUAGUAGCAGAGGGAACAAGAUUUGACUCAAGCAACUUGAGUAUACCAGCACAAACCUGCGAAAGUUCAUUCUCGACUUUACCUCUAUACUCCUUAACAAGAUGCACAUGUUCUUCGUUCUUCCGCGAUUCCUCCUUCUGUUCAAUAGAGGAAACAAUACGCCAGGCAGCACGAAGAGAUCCGAUCACGUUUUUGUAAGCGACAGAGAGGAGAUUCCGUUCCUCAACAGUGAGUUCGCCGGCCGGCGUGGAGUUGAGAACCAGUUUGUCCAUGAACUGAACCAUUUCUUCAUAGCGCUCGGCUUGUUCAGCGAGUUUUGCUAAGUAAAGACACUGUUCACGGCUGAGAUUUUCAGGGAUUAGAGCCGCCAUGGAUGAAGUAGAGAGAAAAUUUAGGCGAAUGAGAAAUCGAUUCUUCUCAACACUGUAUGUGUGAAGUGAGAAAAAGAGAGAGAAGGGACUUUUAUGUGUUUUUUUUUUGCCCUUUUUCUUCGGUUUCCAUAUACACGUGGAG